GUUUAGCCCUGAUUAAAACGGCAUCCUUUUUUGCUGUCAGUUCGAGUGAAUUUGUGAAGAAUGAACAAAUUUAUAUCGAGAACAAAGCAAAAAAGAUAUAGUGGAAAGCAGGAAAUAGC
rnacentral:sRNA from 1 species